rnacentral:lncRNA from 1 species
UGUUGCUUCGAGAUCUAUACAUGCAUCUGAAUGAAAAAAUUCAGAACACUUAGAGAUCCAUGCGAAGUGUGAUUCAACGAGCGAUAUUAUAACAAAUCAAUAUUCUUUAAACAUACAGCACAAUCCCUAAUCGUCAAUAUUUUUCUAACCAAAUCAACAAAACUAUCAAGAUAUUCCACAUCUAUAUAGCUUAUCCAAGUUGAUAUCCUUAGCCA